rnacentral:rRNA from 1 species
GGGGCGGGGUGCUUACCAUGCAGUCGAACGAUGAACCACUUCGGUGGGGAUUAGUGGCGAACGGGUGAGUAACACGUGGGCAAUCUGCCCUGCACUCUGGGACAAGCCCUGGAAACGGGGUCUAAUACCGGAUACUGACCCGCUUGGGCAUCCAAGCGGUUCGAAAGCUCCGGCGGUGCAGGAUGAGCCCGCGGCCUAUCAGCUUGUUGGUGAGGUAAUGGCUCACCAAGGCGACGACGGGUAGCCGGCCUGAGAGGGCGACCGGCCACACUGGGACUGAGACACGGCCCAGACUCCUACGGGAGGCAGCAGUGGGGAAUAUUGCACAAUGGGCGAAAGCCUGAUGCAGCGACGCCGCGUGAGGGAUGACGGCCUUCGGGUUGUAAACCUCUUUCAGCAGGGAAGAAGCGAAAGUGACGGUACCUGCAGAAGAAGCGCCGGCUAACUACGUGCCAGCAGCCGCGGUAAUACGUAGGGCGCGAGCGUUGUCCGGAAUUAUUGGGCGUAAAGAGCUCGUAGGCGGCUUGUCACGUCGGUUGUGAAAGCCCGGGGCUUAACCCCGGGUCUGCAGUCGAUACGGGCAGGCUAGAGUUCGGUAGGGGAGAUCGGAAUUCCUGGUGUAGCGGUGAAAUGCGCAGAUAUCAGGAGGAACACCGGUGGCGAAGGCGGAUCUCUGGGCCGAUACUGACGCUGAGGAGCGAAAGCUGGAGGAA